GCCAGGCAUGGUGGCGCGUGCCUGUAGUCCCAGCUACUCGGGAGGCUGAGGUGGGAGGAUCACCUGAGCCCAGGAGUUCUGGGCUGUAGUGCGCUAUGCCGAUUGGGUGGCCACAUUAAGUUUGGCAUCGAUAUGGUGACCUUCUGGGAGCGGGGGACCACCAGGUUGCCUAAGGAGGGGUGAACCGGCCCGGGUCAGAAACGGAACAGGUCAAAACUCCCAUGCUGAUCAAUAGUGGGAUCGCACCUGUGAAUGGCCGCUGCACUCCAGCCUGGGCAACAUAGUGAGACCCCGUCUCU
rnacentral:SRP_RNA from 1 species